rnacentral:rRNA from 1 species
GUUUUACGCUGGCGGCGUGCCUAAUACAUGCAAGUCGAGCGGACAGAUGGGAGCUUGCUCCCUGAUGUUAGCGGCGGACGGGUGAGUAACACGUGGGUAACCUGCCUGUAAGACUGGGAUAACUCCGGGAAACCGGGGCUAAUACCGGAUGGUUGUUUGAACCGCAUGGUUCAGACAUAAAAGGUGGCUUCGGCUACCACUUACAGAUGGACCCGCGGCGCAUUAGCUAGUUGGUGAGGUAACGGCUCACCAAGGCGACGAUGCGUAGCCGACCUGAGAGGGUGAUCGGCCACACUGGGACUGAGACACGGCCCAGACUCCUACGGGAGGCAGCAGUAGGGAAUCUUCCGCAAUGGACGAAAGUCUGACGGAGCAACGCCGCGUGAGUGAUGAAGGUUUUCGGAUCGUAAAGCUCUGUUGUUAGGGAAGAACAAGUGCCGUUCAAAUAGGGCGGCACCUUGACGGUACCUAACCAGAAAGCCACGGCUAACUACGUGCCAGCAGCCGCGGUAAUACGUAGGUGGCAAGCGUUGUCCGGAAUUAUUGGGCGUAAGGGCUCG